UUCUAUGGAGAGUUUGAUCCUGGCUCAGGACGAACGCUGGCGGCGUGCUUUACACAUGCAAGUCGAGCGAUGAGAUCCCUUCGGGGAAGGAUUAGCGGCGAACGGGUGAGGAACACGUGAGGAAUCUGCCUUCAACACUGGGAUAACUCCGGGAAACCGGGGCUAAUACCGGAUACGAGACCUGCAGGCAUCUGCGGGUCUGGAAAGUUUUUCGGUUGAAGAUGACCUCGCGGCCUAUCAGCUUGUUGGUGAGGUAAUGGCUCACCAAGGCGACGACGGGUAGCCGGCCUGAG
rnacentral:rRNA from 1 species